GAUGAACGCUGGCGGCGUGCUUAACACAUGCAAGUCGAACGGAAAGGCCAGUGCUUGCACUGGUGCUCGAGUGGCGAACGGGUGAGUAACACGUGGGUGAUCUGCCCUGCACUUUGGGAUAAGCCUGGGAAACUGGGUCUAAUACCAGAUAGGACCAUGCUUUGGAUGGUGUGGUGGAAAGUUUUUUCGGUGUGGGAUGAGCUUGCGGCCUAUCAGCUUGUUGGUGGGGUAAUGGCCUACCAAGGCGUCGACGGGUAGCCGGCCUGAGAGGGUGUACGGCCACAUUGGGACUGAGAUACGGCCCAGACUCCUACGGGAGGCAGCAGUGGGGAAUAUUGCACAAUGGGCGCAAGCCUGAUGCAGCGACGCCGCGUGGGGGAUGACGGCCUUCGGGUUGUAAACUCCUUUCGCAACUGACGAAGCUUUUUGUGACGGUAGGUUGAGAAGAAGCACCGGCUAACUACG
rnacentral:rRNA from 1 species